GUUCGCUAGAGCAUUACACUUUUAGUUCACAUGGCAACCAUUUUUUUUUCUUUCUUAGCUUCAUUUAUAAAGAAUUUUAUGUCCAGAGAAGGAAAGGCGCUGCUUGACUCAUCCCACCUGUCUGACACGUCCACCUGUUCGCUGUGGCAAACUCCACUACAUCUUCUCUCUGUUAUGUUUGAUGAGAAGGAACCAAAGCUUGCUCAUCAGCUGAUGGGUUCAGAACGGGUUCAUCACAUGGCCCAAGUCUUCUGCAGACUGAUGGUGGUCAUGUGAUCAGCCAGGCUGAGGAGGAAGCUCUGGUGGAGUGUCGAGUGCGAUUCCUAACCUUCAUGGGAGUGGGACACAAUGUGCACACGUUCGGUUCCAUCAUGGACGCUGGCGGUCAGCACUUCGACUGUCACGUCUUCUGACAUGGGGGGGGGGGGUGUCGGAGGCAGUGCAGGCAGCGUAUGCUGCGGUACCAGAAGUGUUUAGUCGCUCGACCACUCUCCCAAAAAGCCUGCAACCUGGCCCCCCACAGCGACUCAGUGUCCCGUCGAGUGUCUGCCAGUGUGAAGCACAGCGUCCUCUCCCUCAUCGACAACCUCAAACAGAAGAGGCUGCCAGAGUAACAACCUCCCUGUCGCCAUGGUAACCAGGCACAAACGAAUGCUGGCACUGGCACAUGAAUGUCUGGCGCAUGUUUAUUAUUUGACUGAAGGAAAAAAAAGACUUGUUAUAUACGAGUCAAAUCUGAUGCAUGCUGGGAGGUCAACAGUUGGAAUCCAGUUUGAGGCAAACCUACUUCCAUUCUGAGAAGAGUUUAGCUGAUCAACAAACUCUCUGAUGACGCCUUGGAGAUAUGAGUGUGUGCAUGGACUGGUCAUAGUUUUGGUUAAAACUGAACUCUUGACUGAACGCAGAUGAAACACUAGAUGUCAUUGUGAAGGUCAAUAAAUGUGUCGUUACCCUCAUUCUUGAGGAAAAUUCAUGCGGUCAGUUGCCGAAUAUUGGCGGUUGAGACCACACGUUCAUUUUUGAUGGUUUUGAAACACUUUUUUUCUUUAAAUGAAAUACUAUUUAGCAGACGGCUAAAGUGCAAAAUAGUGAAACAUAAGGAAACAAUGGAAGCGGACAGAGUUUUCAAAUGAGUUGCCCACCACCUGACAACUAGCACUA